UGAUUGCCCAGGAUGCCUUCGGUCAGCGGGACCUCGGGGUGCAUGCCAGGCCCAGGGAGCAGUGUAGCCUUGAAGGGGCGCGAGCCGCCCGGCCUGCUCCCUGUCCCGCCGUGGACGGUGCAUCGGCGGCCCCGGGGAGAGAGAGGCGCUGAUUUCCCAGAAGACCUUGGGUCAGCGGGGCCUCGGGUUGGCAGCCAGGCCCAGAGAGCAGUGUAGCCUUGAAGGGGCGCGAGCCGCCCGGCCUGCUGCGUCGUGACUCGCCGUGGACAGUGCAUCGGCCCCGAGGAGAGAGGGAGGUUGUGGUAUGCAAGUAUGACUUCAGUUCGUGGGGCGGCAUGUUGGUCUGAAGGCCUAUCACUGUGGACACUUCAAGCAGCACGAUUCUUGUGCCUCUCUUUUUCUCCUAGUCCCUAGAGAGUUUUACUAUGUAUAGUUUUGUGCCACAUGGCCUGCUUUCUGUUCAUUCCUGGCCCUUUUAUCUCUUAGGAAGGAACCAAGAUGAUACUGGGCCAAAAUGAGGUUUGUAUCUUAAGAUUGUCCUUGAGGUCUCAGCAGUUGUGUCUGAGUUGUGUCUUGGCUGUGAGUAUUGAAGAGUGUAGUGAAGAAUUUCUUGUGAAGAAUUCUCAUACCAGAAAAAGUAUUUGGAUAUUCAUGACAGUUUCUACUUCUAGAUCACCUUCUAGUUCCUCAAUGUGGUCAAUUCUGAUAGUUACCUUAUAGAUAUCAACACAUACAUGUGUAUAUACAUACAUACAUAUGAAUACACACAUAUACAUCACAUAUGCUUCCACGUUUAUAACCCCAUGGAGCCUGUUCCUGCUUGUUUUUAACCCCUACUGAUUCUAAUUCCCCAAAAGUAACCCAUUUCUAUAACAACCUUAUUCUACUUCAACCUUCCUCCCUCCUUCAGUUACUCUUGGCCUCCUUUCUUCUCACUUUUUUUUGUCCUUCUGAUCUCUGUGUGGUCCCCAAGCAUGCCAUGUACCCUAGGAUGUGUAAGUAAUACAAUCUUUAUUCCUAUCUGUGUAGCUGCUAAUCAUUGAAGGGAUGCAAUCUAUCUUAAAGACCCUAAAUUAAAAACAAAGAAAAUAGAAGUGUUUCCAAAUUAUAAUUUGUGGCAGCCUAGAAUACCUUGCAUGCAGCAUCUGUUGGACAGGUGGCUUCCUCAUCUCUCAUGAUGCCUUGCCCACCACUAAGCCUUAUCCUUUCCACAAUGCUCCUAAUACUUGCCACAAGGAGUGGGGUUUUAUAGAUCAGAGUACUUACACCGUGACAUAAUUAGCUUGGCUUGAUUUGUCUUUGUCUGAGAAGUCAGCAAAGAGAUGCUGACCUUCAUGUAUAUGGAUGCACAAGGCAGAUUCCCUCAGAUAAUGGCAGCUUGCUCAGUUCCCCUUGUAUUAGUAAAGGGUUCACUGUAUCUGGACAUUCCUGUAUUGGCCUAUGUUGCUUAAUUCCAUUGCCCUCUUGGCUUUGUUAGAGCAUUAUGUGAGGGAAAGGAUUGGUUAGGAGAAUAUAACAGUAGAUGUUGGUGUCUUAUUUUUCUCACAGACUACGACAUACAUUAUUCUGUAAAGAUGGCCUUGGGAAAUUGAUGACUUAGAAAUAAGUUUAGUUUUCCAGUACAGUUGGUAGGAGCCCUACUUAGGCUUUACUGGGAAGUAAUAGACAACAUUUUCAUCAUGCUAUAUACAAUUGUGACAUUAUUUUUUAUUUUAUAAUAUUUAGUUUUAGUAGUAUAUUUAUCUUGCUAGCAUAGAUGUGCAAAGAUGUGCAUGUUUGCGCACAUGACACAGAGAAGACUUAACCAACAUUCACCAUUCCUAUCUAGUUGCCACACAACACAGAAUAAAUACAUUAUUGUUUCAUUAUGUGUGUAUGUAUGUGAUACAUGUUUAUAGAUGCAUCUGCAUACAUGUGUGUAUUUCUUCUUAAAAUGUUCAUUUUUUUCCUUUCUUUUUUUUCUGUCAGGCGAUGAUAGAGCCCAACAGGGUAGAGAAGUUGUUACUGCCCUUGCCUUAACUCUCAACUAUCAAUUCUAAGAAAUUAGUUGACAGUUUACUUCCCAAAUCUUCAUUCCUAUAUAUGGUCACAUGGAUGUCUUCGACAGGGUGACCACAUUGAGUGGAUUUGCUACAGUUGAUGCCAUUACUUAUAUACCAGCUUCAUCAAAACAACGCUACAGUCUUCUUUAUGCCCGGUGACACCUCUCUUCCUGGGUGGCAGUGGAUUCCUCCUGCAGAUAAGAAAUGCUUAACUGAGAAAUGCUCAUAUUGGGAUAUCACCGUUGAGACUUUAAUUUGGGCAUGGUGACUGUUUCCCUUGCUGCCGCUUGACUCAAUCACAGGAGCCUCAAAUAAAUUGCACAAGAAGCUCAAAAUGGUGGAAAUGCUCAGUGCUCCUAUAAAUAUAUAUUUACCAUUUUUCUUUGCCACAUGAUAAAUUUUUAAAGCUGAUAUAUUCAAAAGAAACUUCAUCAUUUUUCUCAAAAAUUCAAAGAACAAAUAAUAGAAUAAGCUAGGGGCCCUCCUCUCUGCAACUCAAUUGUCAGUUUUCCUAUAUUCAUUUUUUUUAGUGUGCAAAUGGACAUGCAAGCUAUUCUGGAGUGGGUAUUUAGAAGUGAACCCAUAUUGUAACACAUUCUUCUGCCAAUUACCUCUUCCAUUUAAGUCUUUUCAGUGGUUUUUUUUCUAUUUCAGUAAUACAUAUACAUCUGUGUCAUUUGUUGAAUGACUGCAUGACUAUUGUGUAGAUAAAAUAUAAUUAAAUGUUUUAUGGAUUUCUCAUUCAUAGUUAUUUAUGUUAGUACCAAAUUUCUGUGCAAUGAACAGAACAACAAUUCUGCAUUUGUCUAUGAUAUUAAGUUUACCUAGCAAUUGAAUUACUGGAAUUAAAGAUAUGAACAUUUAAGAUUUUGAAA